AGAAUCAACGCUGGCGGCGUGCCUCAGACAUGCAAGUCGAACGCGAAAGGUUCCUUCGGGAACCGAGUAGAGUGGCGCACGGGUGAGUAACACGUAGGUAAUUUGCCUUUGGGUGGGGAAUAACUCAGGGAAACUUGAGCUAAUACCGCAUAAUGCAGCGGCUCGACAUCGAGACAGUUGUUAAAGCGGGGGAUCGCAAGACCUCGCGCCUGAAGAGAAGCCUGCGGCAGAUUAGCUAGUUGGUAAGGUAAUGGCUUACCAAGGCGACGAUCU
rnacentral:rRNA from 1 species